rfam:Oryza glaberrima chromosome 3 Oglab03_0113_10, whole genome shotgun sequence.
AAUAAGUGCAGCCAUGGAUAUCCGUGCUCAACGUUUGACCGUCCGUCUUAUUUAAAAAUUUUGUAAAAAAAUAAAAAUAUUUAAUCAUACAUAAAGUAUUAUUCAUGUUUUAUUAUCUAAUACCAAUAAAAAUAUUAAUCAUAAAAAAAUAAAAUAAAAUAAACGGUUAAACAUUAAACGUGAAUAGU